rnacentral:rRNA from 1 species
ACUCAAAUGAAUUGACGGGGGCCCGCACAAGCGGUGGAGCAUGUGGUUUAAUUCGACGCAACGCGAAGAACCUUACCAGGACUUGACAUCCCCUGGAGGCUGUGGAAACACAGAGUUCUUUUCGUAAGAGAAGACAGGGAGACAGGUGGUGCAUGGUUGUCGUCAGCUCGUGUCGUGAGAUGUUGGGUUAAGUCCCGCAACGAGCGCAACCCUCACGUUUAGUUGCUACCGGGUAAAGCCGAGCCCUCUAGACGAACUGCCGGUGACAAACCGGAGGAAGGUGGGGAUGACGUCAAAUCAUCAUGCCCUUUAUGUUCUGGGCUACACACGUGCUACAAUGGCCUGUACAGAGGGAAGCGAAAGGGUGACCUGAAGCGAAUCCCAAAAAGCAGGUCUCAGUUCGGAUUGCAGGCUGCAACCCGCCUGCAUGAAGUCGGAAUCGCUAGUAAUCGCGGAUCAGCAUGCCGCGGUGAAUACGUUCCCGGGCCUUGCACACACCGCCCGU